AUGCUUGCUUUGGCAGCACAUAUAUUAAAAUUGGAAUGAUACAGAUAAUAUUAGCAUGGCCCCUGCGAAAGGAUGGCACGCAAAUUCAUGAAGUGCUCCGUAUUAAA
rnacentral:snRNA from 1 species